rnacentral:misc_RNA from 1 species
CAAUAAGAGUGUUUAUGGCACUCUUCAAAAAAUCCAUACCCACCUUGUGUGCAACGUAAGAAGAAAAAAAGAAGAUGCGAGUCAUGGGGAAACCCAAGUCUUGCUCCCUUUCUUUUUUUCUUUUCCACAUACACCUUUCUAUUAGUUUCCUAUUGUCCUGAAGCUGUUAGAGAAUGACUAAUUCUUAAACA